rnacentral:rRNA from 1 species
UCCCCCAGUAACGGCGAGUGAAGAGGGAUCAGCCCAAAUUUGUAAUCUGGCCCUUCCUUUCAGGGUCCGAGUUGUAACCUCAAGAACUGUUUUCUGUGCUGGACCGUGUACAAGUCUGUUGGAAUAUAGCUUCAUAGAGGGUGAGAAUCCCGUAUGUGAUGCGGACUACCAGUACAAUGUGAUACAGUCUCUAAGAGUCGAGUUGUUUGGGAAUGCAGCUCAAAAUGGGUGGUAAAUUCCAUCUAAGGCUAAAUAUUGGCGAGAGACCGAUAGCGAACAAGUACCGUGAGGGAAAGAUGAAAAGCACUUUGGAAAGAGAGUUAACAGUACGUGAAAUUGUUGAAAGGGAAACGCUUGAAGUCAGUCUUGUGCAAGGGGUUCAACCUUGAACAGACCAACAUCAGUUCUAGACUUCGGAUAAGGGCAGAGGAAAUGUAGCAGUCUUGGCUGUGUUAUAGUCCUUUACUUGAUGCGAUGUCUGGGACUGAGGAAUGCAGUGAGCCUUAUGGCAGGUCUUUGGACCUUCUCACUAUGGAUGUUGGUGCAAUGGCUUUAAACGACCCGUCUUGAAACACGGACCAAGGAGUCUAACAUGCUUGCGAGUGUUUGGGUGUCAAACUCGGGCGCGUAAUGAAAGUGAAUGUAGGUGGGAAUCGCAAGAUGCACCAUCGACCGGUCCGGAUUUUUAAUGAUGGAUCUGAGUAAGAGCAAGUACGUUGGGACCCGAAAGAUGGUGAACUAUGCCUGAAUAGGGUGAAGCCAGAGGAAACUCUGGUGGAGGCUCGUAGCGGUUCUGACGUGCAAAUCGAUCGUCGAAUUUGGGU